CAAAAAUAUUUUUUAAAAUAAUUUAAAACCACCUUUGGACAAGGGACCCCUGGGUCCCCCCUCCAAGAAAAAACCCAGGGAGGAAUCCUUGG
rnacentral:rRNA from 1 species